rnacentral:rRNA from 1 species
CCUACGGGUGGCUGCAGUGGGGAAUUUUGGACAAUGGGGGCAACCCUGAUCCAGCCAUUCCGCGUGAGUGAAGAAGGCCUUCGGGUUGUAAAGCUCUUUCGGCAGGAACGAAAAGGCUCUCUCUAACAUAGGGGGUCAAUGACGGUACCUGAAGAAGAAGCACCGGCUAACUACGUGCCAGCAGCCGCGGUAAUACGUAGGGUGCGAGCGUUAAUCGUAAGUAGGCGGCGUAAAACGUGCGCAGGCGGCUCCCCGGGCUUAACCUGGGAACGGCGUUUGUGACUGCAAGGCUUGAGUGCGGCAGAGGGGGGUGGAAUUCCACGUGUAGCAGUGAAAUGCGUAGAGAUGUGGAGGAACACCGAUGGCGAAGGCAGCCCCCUGGGUCGACACUGACGCUCAUGCACGAAAGCGUGGGUAGCAAACAGGAUUAGAUACCCUUGUAGUC